CUCAGUACAUUUUUCUCGGGAAGGAAAGACAACAAAAUAAAUAUUUAGAAAGACAUUGAAACCAUUACUUCUGACUAUGAAAUAGAGAAUUAUGAGAGCUAUGGAAGUGGUGAAGAAAACGAGAAAUCUUCACAAAAUGUUGAAAGCAAUUGCACAGAAGAGCAGGUUGAAAUGAAUGGGAUCAUCCUUUUAUGAUGUCAAGCUCAUUUUUGGUUACUUUUUGGGCAAAGAUCUUUUUGGAAGAAGGUCUUAUUGACAUGAACAUGUCUGGUUCAAAGAGAAUUGUUGAUUUGUCUGGUUGGGAUUCACUGUUCGUUCACACAUACAAGUUUAUAAGAAGAAAAGAUCUGGAAAUUCGACCAUCGAUGUUGUGGUCACAGCCUGGUGUAAGGUGUUAAGGCAGCUUGUGUAGUCGUCGACUUCGUUUAAAAGAGCGAUGAGAUAUUUUCCAACAAUCCACUCUUCGAGAGCAACUUGUACACUUCGAAGAAAUCCUGUGAGGUGAUCUGUCUCAAAAUGGGCUCUUCCAUCGAACUAAGGGUCUAUGCGUGAUCGCCCGCUAAUCUAAUCCACUUGAAAUUGCUGAGGACUUUACGUAAUUUUUUUUUCCUAUUUGCUCUGAUGUUUACAAAUGUCGACAUAGAAUUAAAUCAUCUUAAAGAAUUGUUAGACUUUUGUAGUCAUAUUUAACAAUGCUGUAAUGUUGGGACUUUACCAGGAAUUGCACAUUUCCCGUUCUUCUUAUGCAUGCAUAUUAAUGUCAAAGUUGAAAUAGAUCGUGUAUCGUCUUUGUAUGAAAUUACCAGGAACGCGUACUCUUUUUAAUUUUAUUUUUAUUCGCCUCACGAAUUUGUAGACGAACUUUCUUCACACUCGUCUUGUAAGGUCUUGUAUUUGCGAAUCUGUACAAAUGUAAACACGAGUAAAGCAUUUGUAAAUUAUGAUGAUUUUAAAACUUUAUUGUUAGGCAAACGAUUAAAUGCGUUAUGUUAGUAUAUACGAAGCUCGUCUCUACGAACGGAAGCUUAAUAAAUGUGUUUAUACGUAAUGCUUGCGAUUAGGAAUUCUUGCAAUGUUUUAUAGAAAUGAAUUUUACAAAUUCUGGUAUACAGGGGUGGGGUGACGUUGGAAGAUAUUGACGGCUUUUGUCUAACGACAUGACAUUAAACGUAUUUUGCACAAUUUGAAAUUACUUUACUAAUGUAAAGAAACAUAUUUAAUAGUUAAGAUACAGGGUUAUUGUUGAUCUUCUCAAUGUCCUUGGGUAUGAUCUUAAUGUAGCACACCACACCCCCCCCCUGCUCGUUGUCGUUCGUUAUGCAUUACGAGCUGAUUCCUGUCUGAACUGGAAUAUUGCUGUAGUUGAAAUGUGAUAAUUAAGAAGCUUAUUGAUCUUACAAAAAGUUCGUUGGACUUCAAAUCGUCUUUAAAUAUAUCACAGUGUGCUUUGAUUUGAGGGUAGCCUUCUCGACCUCUCGAUAAUUGAUCAAAAUCCAGCCAAAAGCAGCAGCAGAGAACCUUGAGGUAUUUAUAAGUAGAGUUAAAGGUCAAGAAUCCAGCCAAGUAUUUCUGAAUUUCGUGCUUCUGAGAACGAAAAUUACGAGAGGUUUUUCCCAAGAAAUAAGCAUUGAUUUUCAAUCAUAUAUGAUGAAUGCGACGUCAGGACUGGUUUAUCUGUAGUCAAAGGGGCAAAGCUACAGCAAUUUAUUGGGCUCAUGCACGAUUGUCAUAGAGUUUUGACAACGUUGUGCAUUUCUUGGAUGAUUUGAAUUCAGUAACUUUCGAAGUCGACGGGGAGGAUUUUGAAUGCACCUCGUGAAUAGCGAACAAACAUCGGGGCGGUCUUUUUGAAGUCCAUGCAUGUAGCUAAAACAGAAUAUUGAAGCAAAUGUUUGCUGUAUCGUCGAGGAAUCAAAGCUCGAUCAAAAAAAUGAAAAGAGUUUUGAGUGGCUAACAGUUUUAGUUCGACCUGAAAAAGUGAUUUACAUGACCAAUCAAAAUAAUGAAGGCACAUUCUUGAGAAUAUUGCUCCUACACAGUCUUCCUCAUUUCUCCUCAUCCUCAAUGGCGGAACAAUAAAUAAUAAGCUGAACAAUGAGGUUUUUAAAUAAAUGGAGAUUCAUCGUUUGGGUAUUACAAUGAAUAAUAAAUAAGAUCAGUUUAGAUCAAUAAUCAAUCUCG